rnacentral:rRNA from 1 species
CACGUAGGCACCAAGCGUUGUCCGGAUUUAUUGGGCGUAAAGAGCUCGUAGGCGGUUCAGUAAGUCGGGUGUGAAAACUUUGGGCUUAACCCAAAGCGUGCAUCUGAUACUGCUGUGACUUGAGUUCGGUAGGGGAGUGGGGAACUCCUAGUGUAGCGGUGAAAUGCGCAGAUAUUAGGAGGAACACCGGUGGCGAAGGCGCCACUCUGGGCCGAAACUGACGCUGAGGAGCGAAAGCAUGGGUAGCAAACAGG